AUUGAACGCUGGCGGCAGGCCUAACACAUGCAAGUCGAGCGGGGUUUUCGGACCUAGCGGCGGACGGGUGAGUAAUGCGUAGGAAGCUACCCGAUAGAGGGGGAUACCAGUUGGAAACGACUGUUAAUACCGCAUAAUGUCUACGGACCAAAGUGUGGGACCUUCGGGCCACAUGCUGUCGGAUGCGCCUACGUGGGAUUAGCUAGUUGGUGGGGUAAUGGCUCACCAAGGCGACGAUCCCUAGCUGGUUUGAGAGGAUGAUCAGCCACACUGGAACUGAGACACGGUCCAGACUCCUACGGGAGGCAGCAGUGGGGAAUAUUGGACAAUGGGCGCAAGCCUGAUCCAGCCAUGCCGCGUGUGUGAAGAAGGCCUUCGGGUUGUAAAGCACUAUCAGCGAGGAGGAAGGGGUGGUCGUAAAUAGCGGCUAUCUUUGACGUUACUCGCAGAAGAAGCACCGGCUAACUCUGUGCCAGCAGCCGCGGUAAUACAGAGGGUGCAAGCGUUAAUCGGAAUUACUGGGCGUAAAGCGCACGCAGGCGGUUGGUUAAGUCAGAUGUGAAAGCCCCGGGCUCAACCUGGGAAUUGCAUUUGAAACUGGCCAACUAGAGUACGUGAGAGGGGGGUAGAAUUCCAAGUGUAGCGGUGAAAUGCGUAGAGAUUUGGAGGAAUACCAGUGGCGAAGGCGGCCCCCUGGCACGAUACUGACGCUCAGGUGCGAAAGCGUGGGGAGCAAACAGGAUUAGAUACCCUGGUAGUCCACGCCGUAAACGAUGUCUACUAGCUGUUCGUGGUCUUGUACUGUGAGUAGCGCAGCUAACGCACUAAGUAGACCGCCUGGGGAGUACGGUCGCAAGAUUAAAACUCAAAUGAAUUGACGGGGGCCCGCACAAGCGGUGGAGCAUGUGGUUUAAUUCGACGCAACGCGAAGAACCUUACCUACUCUUGACAUCUAGCGAAGAUUGUAGAGAUACGAUUGUGCCUUCGGGAACGCUAAGACAGGUGCUGCAUGGCUGUCGUCAGCUCGUGUUGUGAAAUGUUGGGUUAAGUCCCGCAACGAGCGCAACCCUUAUCCUUAGUUGCCAGCACGUAAUGGUGGGAACUCUAGGGAGACUGCCGGUGAUAAACCGGAGGAAGGUGGGGACGACGUC
rnacentral:rRNA from 1 species